AAGGGCCUGAUAUAGGCCAGUUCUGAUGGGCAGCAUGCACUCUCCUCAACCUGACCAAGACUUUUACAGGGCCGCGCUGUGGUCUGUGGCUCCUCCUAUUCAAUCCACCCUCCUUUCCUCUCUCCUUUUCCAGCUGUCAGACCUACAUUACUAUCGGAAGGCUCUCCUACUCCUGCCACCUGGUCCUUUACCAUUUGUGUCCCCAGACAUUGCCAAAUGUCCACUGAGAGACCACAUCCCCUGGAUGAGGACCACGAGUGUAAGGUACAGAUGAGCACCCUGUCUUUUGCCUUCACUCUGGUGAAUUUCUUCCAACAAACAUUUAUUGAUAAUUUAUGUCAAGCCCCAGAGGAAGAGAAAUUAAAGAAGCUUACACACUAGCAGAGAAGUACAAGCUCCUCUAGGAAAGGAGACACACAAGAGCAUCUGGUAAGGCCAUGGUUUUCACAGUGUGAUUUGUGGACUCCUAGAGGUCCCUGAUACUCUUUCAGGGGGUCCACAGGAGAAAAACUACUUUUAUAAUAAUGUCAAGACAUUGUUUGCUUAUCUACUAUAUUGAUAUUUGUACUAAUGAUGGAAAGCAAUCAUGGAUAAGUUUCAUGGUGCCUGACAAUGAACCAAGGGCACAGCACUAAACUAGUAGUUGUUGGAUUCUUCUUUUCCAUCCGCUCACAGUAAAAGAAAAUGCCAAUUUCAUCUGAGGAAGUCCUUUUUGAAUCAGAAAAAAUUAUUAAUUUUAAAUCUCAAUCCUUGAGUAUAAGUAUUUUGAACAGCCUGUGUGAGAAAAUGAGAAGUACACACAAGGUACUUCUACUGCAUACUGAAAUAUGGCAGUUAUCUUGAGGGAAAGCACUUGUGCAAUAUUUGAGUUGUAAGCUGGAGUGGCCACUUUCUGUGAAAUGCCAAUUUACCUGAAUGCCUGGCUGAUGAGCAAACUGUGGUUAUUUCAACUUAUGUAGAUCUUUGGGAAAUAUUUUUUUUUUUUAAAUGAGUGAGUGAGCUUGUCUCUAAUGGAAAACAACGGACUGUAUUUCUUACUAAUGAUAAAAUUCAAGCUUGCAAGUGAAAAUUAGGAUUUUGGAAAACAUAUUAACCUUUAAGUUCGACAGAUUCUUAAUAUUUCAGGAUUUUUUUUAGAUUGGUGGUGAUAUUAACAAUGUGAUUUUUAAAAAUAUUAUAUGAGAUAGGUCAACAUUUGGAAGAUAUGAAUAACUCAGUAAACCAGUGUUUUCCCAAUGACCAAUGCAUGAUGUUAGAAAAUCAUUCAUGGGUAAAGAUCCUUUCAGAAUGAAAAAUAGACAAGUAAUUUUUUUAAUUUCAUAGAGUAGAAAAGUUCAUUGAAAUGGUUUUAGAUUCCACAUUGCAACUAACCUUUAAAAAAUGACAACUUGGCAAGUUUUGAUAGAGUAUUAACAAGAAUACCCACAAUUAUCUGAAAAAGGUAUUAAAAUACUCCUCCCUCUUCCAACUACAUAUCCAUGUGAGGCCAGAUUUUCUUCAUACUUUAAGUAAAACAACAUAUCUAUGGCAGAUUGAAUGCAGAAGCAGAUUUGGGAAACCAGCUGCCUUCUAUUGUGCCAGACAUUAAAAAGAUUUGCAAAAGCAUAAAACAACUCUACUUUUCUCACUAAUUUUUUUUUAGAAAUAUACUUUGUUAAGAAAUAAUUUUCAAAAAAAUUAAGUAAAAUCAUGACUUUCAUACAUAUGUGGAAAUGAACAGAGGUUAAGGAUCUUUUUCCACUUGUUAAUUGACAAAGGAGCCAGACAGAUAUGACAAAGAGUGAGUAAAUAAAUAAAUGAAUGAAUAAAUAAAUAAAUAAAUA
rnacentral:lncRNA from 12 species